rnacentral:rRNA from 1 species
CCAGCCUUGACAUCCCCACGAAUGCAGGGCAACGCCUGCAGCCCCUCGGGGCGUGGGAGACAGGUGGUGCAUGGUUGUCGUCAGCUCGUGUCGUGAGAUGUUGGGUCAAGUCCCGCAACGAGCGCAACCCCUGCCCCCAGUAGCCAGCGUAGAGCCGGGCACUCUGGGGGGACUGCCGGGGACAACCCGGAGGAGGGCGGGGACGACGUCAAAUCAUCAUGCCCCUUACGGCUGGGGCUACACACGUGCUACAAUGGGGCCGACAGAGGGAAGCGGACGCGCGAGCGCGAGCGGACCCCAAAAACGGCCCCCCAGUUCGGACUGCAGCCUGCAACCCGGCUGCACGAAGCCGGAAUCGCUAGUAAUCGCGGAUCAGAACGCCGCGGUGAAUACGUUCCC